rnacentral:lncRNA from 1 species
AAAUCAGGGAGGGUGAGAGAGAACUGAGGAGAGCCAGCCUCACAGUGGAGUCAACACUGCUUAGUGUCCACUUUGAAUGGGAUCUCCAGAACCCAGCCACUGUAUUGGAGAGAAUUGUAAAAGCAAGGAAGGCACAGCUGCUGCCUCAGCCUGUCAGCUGGAACUAGGGACACUGCAGUGAGAUUCCAGAUACAGAACACCAACAAAAGGGAGUAUCGGGUGCUGUGUUGGAGCCUUUUCACCCCAGCAGUGGCUCCCAGUCUGCCAUAAGGAGCCAAAAAGUUGAAUAUAGAGAUCAAGAUCCCGGCAGCAGCGAUUCUGAUGUAGUUGGUAAGCAUGAUGUCUUAAGAUUCUGUGGUGUCUUGCAAACUUUAUA